CUACGGGUUGCUCCAGUGAGGAAUAUUGCACAAUGGGGGGAACCCUGAUGCAGCAACGCCGCGUGGAGGAUGACGCAUUUCGGUGUGUAAACUCCUUUUAUAUGUCAAGAAAAUGACGGUAGCAUAUGAAUAAGCACCGGCUAACUCCGUGCCAGCAGCCGCGGUAAUACGGAGGGUGCAAGCGUUACUCGGAAUCACUGGGCGUAAAGGACGCGUAGGCGGGUUGGAAAGUCAGGUGUGAAAUCCUACAGCUUAACUGUAGAACUGCACUUGAAACUUCUAAUCUAGAGUAUGGGAGGGGGAGAUGGAAUUAGUGGUGUAGGGGUAAAAUCCGUUGAUAUCACUAGGAAUGCCUAAAGCGAAGGCGAUCUCCUGGAACAUUACUGACGCUAAGGCGUGAAAGCGUGGGGAGCAAACAGGAUUAGAUACCCCAGUAGUC
rnacentral:rRNA from 1 species